UAUGACCCCUGCUAUGGGUGGUGAGCCCAUUGGAGGGGGAACCCACAUUGCCUCUUCGGGCUGUGCCCGGCCGGGACCCAUGGGGACAGGCCCGGCCACCAGGCGCUCGCCAUCGACCCCCCCUCUGGCUCCAGAGUGGGGCCCCGGUGACCCGCGUCCGGGCGAGGGAAAUCUGGGUCCAUAGGUUUUAUUUUUCAUUGAGGUCUUCGAGCUGCUCUUUGUCUGAUCCCUCACCUAGGACCAGUUUGUCUUGGGAGACCCUACCAGCAAUCACUGUGUUUGAUUUAAAUAGCACCUCAGUGUUUGACUCAUUGUGUGGCUGGCUCCCUGCUGGGAAAGGUCUGCUUCCAUCAGGCGGUAAGUGUGUUGCUCCACUGAAAUAUAGUUUGUAAAUUAGUCUGCUAAAUGUGUAAGAUGUUUGAUUCAUUGAAUGCUGUGAUUUAUUGAACUUUGCACUGAUCAGAGGUUUCUCUGCUCUAUGUUCCAGGCAAUUUAGGAGACCUGAUCAAGGCAUGAGAAAUGCGAUAAUAAUUUGUUUGUUUAAAUGAUAGCCCCAACCGGGAGGAACUUAAGUUAACCUGCAUUCCAAAAAAGUGACUGAAUAAAGCAACGCUGCUGCGUUUGAACCCUAACAGAACUGUCUCUGGGAGCUGGGUCUGCCAGCGCUUCCGCUGGCAGCGCGCCGAGACACGCCCCUGCUCGCGCUGGCCGCGUCACGCUCACAUGCCGGCAAGGCUGUGGGCGAUCAGUAAUCUUCACACCUGGGACUGAUGAGGGCAAGCGUUAUAAGGACCAAUGGACCCAAGGAUCCUUGCGGGAACUUAGUUCUCUAUUGUGUACUUGCUUUCCCGAGUUUUACCCGUUGUGAUCUCCUGUCGUUCCCCUCUGGAUUUGGACUGCCUUCCUCGAUCCUCGACCCUCGCCUGGACACGGACCUUGUCGCUUCUCUCUUGCCCUCGACUGCUUGCCUGUUCACGGACUGCCCUCCUGCUUUGUCCCUCUUCUCGCUCUACUCAACACUUGGUAACACACACUUCAGCUAACCAUACACAUAGCCUCUCACACACACACUCUUGGGUUUUGUCACACACACCAUUCUAUAGUUUUAGUUAGUAUUGUUUAUUAUUAUUAUAUAUAUAUAUUGGCUAUAUAUAUAAUAAAUCAUAGAACUUUACUUCCCCCUGGUGU